GUCCAAGGAAACCAUUUGAGCGCACAUUUAUCCGAGCGCCCCUGCAGAGACGCAGUCAUCAAUUCCAUGUUGUAAAUCGUUUCCACCCUGUCAAUCCAUUGGUGGAGCGAGGGGGCUACCUGACUUCUCCAUAGCAUGGGGAUGAGGGAUUUUGCUGCCGUGAGAAGGUGUAUUACCAAGCCCUUCUUGUAAGCGGAAAUAGGCAUGCUCG